rnacentral:miRNA from 1 species
CCUCCGGUCCACAAUAAGUGU